GAGCGGAGAGCGGAGAGCGGGGCGCGGAGCCGAGCCCAGCCGAGCGGAGCCGAGCGAAGCAGCCUCCCCGGCGGGAGAAGGGGCCGGUCCUGAUGAAGAACAGAUUGUGGAAGACGGCCUCUGAAGGCACCCAGAUGACCCUCGGAAGAAGAAGGAUACAGUUUCUCUUUCUCUCCGAUAGGCUGUUUUGGCUAAUGCACCUAAUCUUCUUUGGAUAAUUAGCACGACUAAUUGCGGAGGAGGCUGCUUCUGGGGAAAACGCAGGGGAGGAUGCUGAAGUCUGCCCGAGUGCCAGCCGCUGCCCUCGUCCGCGGGGAGCUCCAGAGACAGAAGCGUCUCCCUCUGACAAAAUUAAUAAAUGGAAAUCUGCCUUAA